GAGUUUGAUCCUGGCUCAGGACGAACGCUGGCGGCGCGCCUAACACAUGCAAGUCGAACGGGACUAUUUUGGGAGAAGUUUUCGGAUGGAUCUCGGGAUAGUUUAGUGGCGGACGGGUGAGUAACACGUGAGCAACCUACCUUCGAGAGGGGAAUAACGGCUGGAAACGGUCGCUAAUACCGCAUAACAUACUGGAGGGACAUCCCUUUGGUAUCAAAGAUUUUAUCGCUCGGAGAUGGGCUCGCGUCCGAUUAGGUAGUUGGUGAGGUAACGGCUCACCAAGCCGACGAUCGGUAGCCGGACUGAGAGGUCGAACGGCCACAUUGGGACUGAGACACGGCCCAGACUCCUACGGGAGGCAGCAGUGGGGGAUAUUGCACAAUGGGGGAAACCCUGAUGCAGCGACGCCGCGUGUGGGAAGACGGUCCUCUGGAUUGUAAACCACUGUCCCCAGGGACGAAGAUGACGGUACCUGGGGAGGAAGCUCCGGCUAACUACGUGCCAGCAGCCGCGGUAAUACGUAGGGAGCGAGCGUUGUCCGGAAUUACUGGGUGUAAAGGGAGCGUAGGCGGGACUGCAAGUUGGGUGUCAAAUCUACCGGCUCAACCGGUAGCCGCACUCAAAACUGCAGUUCUUGAGUGAAGUAGAGGCAGGCGGAAUUCCUAGUGUAGCGGUGAAAUGCGU
rnacentral:rRNA from 1 species